rnacentral:rRNA from 1 species
CAGCAGUAGCCGCGGUAAUACGUAGGUGGCAAGCGUUGUCCGGAAUUAUUGGGCGUAAAGGGCUCGCAGGCGGUUUCUUAAGUCUGAUGUGAAAGCCCCCGGCUCAACCGGGGAGGGUCAUUGGAAACUGGGAAACUUGAGUGCAGAAGAGGAGAGUGGAAUUCCACGUGUAGCGGUGAAAUGCGUAGAGAUGUGGAGGAACACCAGUGGCGAAGGCGACUCUCUGGUCUGUAACUGACGCUGAGGAGCGAAAGCGUGGGGAGCGAACAGGAUUAGAUACCCGUGUAGUCCCUGUCUCUUAUAC